ACGGGUGAGUAAUGUAUCGGAACGUGCCCAAUCGUGGGGGAUAACGUAGAGAAAUUUACGCUAAUACCGCAUACGAUCUAAGGAUGAAAGCGGGGGAUCGCAAGACCUCGCGCGAUUGGAGCGGCUGAUAUCAGAUUAGGUUGUUGGUGAGGUAAAAGCUCACCAAGCCGACGAUCUGUAGCUGGUUUGAGAGAACGACCAGCCACACUGGGACUGAGACACGGCCCAGACUCCUACGGGAGGCAGCAGUGGGGAAUUUUGGACAAUGGGCGCAAGCCUGAUCCAGCAAUGCCGCGUGCAGGAAGAAGGCCUUCGGGUUGUAAACUGCUUUUGUACGGAACGAAACGGUUCUUUCUAAUAAAGAGAGCUAAUGACGGUACCGUAAGAAUAAGCACCGGCUAACUACGUGCCAGCAGCCGCGGUAAUACGUAGGGUGCGAGCGUUAAUCGGAAUUACUGGGCGUAAAGCGUGCGCAGGCGGUUAUGUAAGACAGUUGUGAAAUCCCCGGGCUCAACCUGGGAAUUGCAUCUGUGACUGCAUAGCUAGAGUACGGUAGAGGGGGAUGGAAUUCCGCGUGUAGCAGUGAAAUGC
rnacentral:rRNA from 8 species